GGGGCUGAUUCUGGAUUCGACGGGAUUUGCGAAACCCAAGGUGCAUGCCGAGGGGCGGUUGGCCUCGUAAAAAGGGGCGGUUGGCCUCGUAAAAAGCCGCAAAAAAUAGUCGCAAACGACGAAAACUACGCUUUAGCAGCUUAAUAACCUGCUCUGAGCCCUCUCUCCUUAGCUUCCGCUCUUAAGACGGGGAUCAAAGAGAGGUCAAACCCAAAAGAGAUCGCGUGGAUGCCCUGCCUGGGGUUGAAGCGUUAAAUCUAAUCAGGCUAGUUUGUUAGUGGCGUGUCUGUCCGCAGCUGGCAAGCGAAUGUAAAGACUGACUAAGCAUGUAGUGCCGAGGAUGUAGGAAUUUCGGACGCGGGUUCAACUCCCGCCAGCUCCACCA
rnacentral:tmRNA from 1 species